UGUGCGAUAAUUUCCCUCAAAAUACGGUAAUUUUAUGUCUCUAGUACGAUAAUCAUACAUUUCUCACCUGGCAACACUGUUCGCGAUCGAGCCGACUCGAUAUGCCGGUUCUUUUAGGUGAGAAAUGGGGCCGGUUCCCGUUUCACAGGGAGAUUUUAUACAACAGAAAAUUGAAGUUUAGAGAUUACUUUGAACAAUAAGUACGUUAAACAUAUUCAUACAAGCUAGAGGGAGCACUAAGAAAAGACUUAUUUUAGAGCCUAAAAAGCCGAUUCUUUGUUGCGUUCAAAUAAAAGAUUCGGUUUGUAUAUAGAAGAGCAGCUAAAAUAGACCUGUAAUGGCGGGAAGGAAUAUAUAAAUAGGAAUUGAUCAAUAUUAUAACUGUAUAGGAAGGGAAAAUAUACUAAAUAUUGAUAAAACAACUUAAAGGUAAAAAAAGGACAUAGUUAAUAGUAUGAUUAAAAUUGUGAUAUUGUUGAGGUUGACUACCUCAUCCAUGUAUUCAAUUAUAAUGUUAUAGAAACAUUUUUAUAGUGUAGAUAACAACACUUUAUUGAACUGGUUGAGAAGUUGAGAAAUUACUUAAGUGGGAUAAUAUUUAUCACUAUCCUUGGACAUUGCUUGUCUGGUAUUCCUCAAAGUUCUAUGGAUGGUUCAAAAGUCAUGUUUCAAAAGUAUUAAACGUUGUAAUGUUUGCUGAUGACUCUAAUGUUCUUUGAUUUGGUACAAAUAUUUUGCCUUAGAAUUGUGUAUUAAUAAAAAAGGGCUUUGAUAGUAAUGCAUCAAAUUGUGGAAUUUUCUAAGUAUAGAAAGAUUUCUUAAGUUAAUGUAAAUGAGGUCAGUUUUAAAAGAGUAAAGAGUAAUGAAUGAUAGAAGGACCUGGAAAACCCUAAUAAAUCAUGUACACAAUAAAACUGCAAGAAGUAAAUCUGCAUUAAAUAAAGUAAAACAUAUUCUGGACCUAAGAAUCUCCCUUCAUAAAUGAUCUUGUUGAGAUGGAGGAUAUAAUCUGAGAGGAAGGUUGUUUUUAAAUCCCUUUUCUGCUUGAACGCUGAAAAGCAUUCAUAUUUCUACUUGUGGAGUAAAACCGAGGAAUGGUUCAAGAACAGACCUUAAGCGAUGUUACAGCCUGGCCCAGUUUGAAAAGUGUUAUAAAAAAUGUGGUUUUCAUGAGGUAAAGUACUGAAUGAAGUGCUUAGCUAAAUGGUAAUAAAAAUGCAUAUGUAUGUGCUGCAGGUAAAAUAACUCAUCACAAAUUUCCUAAGUAAAUAAAUUUUAUUUCAAAUGACAUGAAAUUGUCACCAGAUGUUGGUAACAACCGACCCAGUAAAGAAAUCAAACCGUUCUGUGGGCACCUGCUAUGAACUUUAGUUCUUUGCAGAGAUUAUCUAUAGGAUUCAGAUUAGAUGGGGAUGAGGAUUAAUGGCAUUACACAGCAGUAGCAGAUAUAUUAAGCAUAACUGUCACCCUAUGGCUUACAGGCUAAAAGAAAUGUGCAUAAUUUACAUAAUUCCUAUGUUGAUGUUUCCCUGUGAUGAACAAGGAAUGUCCCAGGUUAUCAUCUGGGACUGAACCAGCUAGGAUUAAUUAGCAGGGCUGCUCUCUAAUUACCAAUAGAUUUCAGCUGGUGUCAGUGUCUUGUCGCACCUUUCUUUCUUUAUGUGUCCAGUACUUUUUCCAUGUCCUUCUGUAUUAUUACACAUAAUGUGUGGAUAAUUUAUUGUUAGAUUUUUCUGUUUGUGGGGACUGGAUGGAUUAUUACUGACAUAAGGAGGUGUUUGACUGACAACAGCCCACUGGGGCAGCUCCCUGCCCAGCCAAUGGAGACACGAGGCUUGUAAAAAGUUGAGGUUCAAGGACGCAGCGUGACCCUGGCAAACUUUAGAGACAAGGAAGAAGUCAGCAACAGCGCAGAUAAGAGGACACAGAUGGUCAACACAGGAGGUGAGAUGGGAAAGCUAUCAUCAUUUCCAAAACCGGCUUAAAUAAAAUGCAAUCAGGAAAACAUCAGGGACUUUUGAACAUGUUUAGGACCAGAAAAUCUGAAAAAUAUU